GCUUCUGAGAGCAGGGACUGGGAGAAAAGGGAACUGCUUAAUUGCUUUGCACAGUUUUUCUCACUAAAGCAAUUAGCACCUAGAGGAAAGUCCAGGAGGACACAGUCAGGCCUCAAACACAUAUGGUGGCCGGAAACUGGCUUGCCUACUGGCUCAGGCACACAGGUGAUUCAGUCAGCAAUGUGGUCUCUCUCAGGCAGUGCUGUGGAAAUGCUCUCUUCCUACUUCUGACUUUCUCCUCCACUGAAAAGCCAGUGUGCAGAGUGAGCGGAAGCUUAUCGGCCUCGGAUGCUCCCAGGGAAAACUAGAAAAGACUAUCCUCAGAGACUCCAGAGCUUAAACAACUUAGAGCUGCACUUUGGACUAAAAUGGCUACUGAAUAGCAGUUCUUUUAGACAGGAACAAUUCUGGAUCAGAGUUUUUGACUAUGGGAUGGCAACCACACCCCUCUACUUGAUGCCCUGUCUUUCUACUGGAGGUGAAGACUACAAGUUUCCUCUCUCCACUGUUGGGAAGUUUUGUCUAAGGUAUAGUACAUAAAAGAAAAAUACUACAAGGUUAAAGUGUUUCCAAGGACAACAUGUUAAGGAAUGAAUCCCAUCAUCCAUUACGAUUAAGAAUGCAUGCGUGCAUACGUAUUAAAGCCAUUGAUGAUGUAUGACAGCAACCCAUUGGAAUGAAGUCACCAUGUUGCUAAUUGGACUGCCUCUUCUCUGAUCAGCAUGUAAGAGACCUCUUCCAAGCGUCCCAGACUCUCAUGGACCUGCCAGUAAAUCUGUCUUCCUUCAGUCAAUCUCAGCCCACUUCCUUGUCUGCACAGCUGCUUGUGAGGAUUGAAAACUGCUUUCUUAUCUUAAAAUUAAAAUGUUAAAUGGGUUGACAGGUUGCACUGAUCUAAUUUAAUUAAACAUACGAAAACAAAAGAACUGUUUAUUUAUGAAACUGUCAUAAGCCAUGAAAUAAAGUAUUUAAUCACAUUCUUUGGUACCUAACCGUCUACUGCAGAGGAAGACUUGAAGUGAGGGAAGAAGAUAAAGGAGUACACCUCAAAGCAUACUCGAAGUUGAAACUUGAUCUCCUUGUUCAUGUUUUAUUGGACCCUAAAUUUGAAAUUAAAAUGAAAAUCUCAUUCGGUUCAUUGUUUUGAUGUUUGUAAAACCCUUAAAUUAACAAAUCAACCCUCAGUUUUCUGCUUUUACUACUUUGCUGAGCAUUAAUUCCUACAUUAAGCUGAAUGACUAUUUUGGCCACCAGAAUGAAGAGCAGGUGACCGUCUGUCCUGAUAGUCUCUAAUGCACAAGGUUCUUUUUCAAUAACACAUGCUUCUGCAAGGUAGCAAUCAAGAUCUUGCAUUUAGAAAUUAUAAAUUUAUGGAAGUUGUUAUUACUAAAAGUAAUGAAAUAAUUAAGUAAACCUUAAAUUUAACAUAUCCACGAUAAAACUAUAGAUAUUUGUAAUUAUAUAUAAUUUUUAAUAGCAUUUAAAAUAGUAUAAAUAGCUAUUUAUCUAUUUUUAUGCUUAUGUAUAUCCACAUACAUAUGUAUGCAUAUGCUAACAUGAAUGUAUUUAUGACUGUACUUGAUGUAUAUACAUUCCCAAACAUUUAGGCAUAAGUGAAUAGUAAAAAUUUAAGCCAACAUAAAAAUGUUCGUUUUUUUUUUAUCCUUGGGAAAUCAAUGUUGAGGUGUAAUUUUAAAAAAAGAACUCUAUUUUACAUAUCUCUGUACAUAAAGCAAUAAAAAUACAAUCUU